GACGUAAGAGGCAAGCGUUGUCCGGAAUUACUGGGUGUAAAGCGCGUGUAGGCGGCUUGAUAAGUCGGAUGUGAAAUCCCCGGGCUCAACCCGGGAAUUGCGUCCGAAACUGUCUCGCUCGAGAGCAGAAGAGGAGAGUGGAAUUCCGGGUGUAGCGGUGAAAUGCGUAGAUAUCCGGAGGAACACCAGUGGCGAAGGCGGCUCUCUGGUCUGUUUCUGACGCUGAGACGCGAAAGCGUGGGGAG
rnacentral:rRNA from 1 species